rnacentral:tRNA from 1 species
GCCUGGGUGGCUCAGUCGGUUAAGCACCCGACUUCAACUCAGGUCAUGAUCUCAUGGUAUGUGGGUUCGAGCCCUGCGUCGGGCU